GGGGCUGUAGCUCAGUUGGUAGAGCGGCACAUUUGCAAUGUGUAGGUCAGCGGUUCGAUCCCGCUCAGCUCCACCA
rnacentral:tRNA from 1 species